GUGCAAUGGAAGAAAAGUUGUGAAACAAUUUAAUAUUCGAAUCCGAUAAGAGAAAAUGAAAACUGGAAAUUGGCGUAUCGAUAACACUCUUGAACGUUUCCACUGCUAUACAUAAUGUAUAGCCUCCUAGUUGUUUCUGUGGUUGUGAAUUUAUUUUUACAAUUAACAAGCAUAGAAGCAAGUUAUAAAUUUCAUAAUGCAGACUUAAAUACAAUCUUAAAGUAUUUGCAAGAACAACAGCUAACUAGCAAAGGAUCGGUUAGCAAGGAAAUUGAGAGUGCAUUCCAAAAUGACUAUUACGAUAGACCGAACAUAAACAAAAAUCUUAAUAGUAAAGCUCAUAAUCUAGCAUCAUAUUGGAGCCUCAACCUCGACGAUGGAACAAGAAAUUUGCUUUCCAACUCCCAAUCACAUCAUCAUUCUCAGCAGAAUAAUAAUGAUUAUGACGACGCUCGCAGUCAGGACAAACCCUAUUCCAAAGUGUACUUGAUUUUAGAUCCAAAAGCCAAACUCAGUAGUCAUGACGUGAAAGGAUUAAGUGACUUGGUUUCAUCAUGGGUUUCACCGAAGGCUUCGAAGCAGUCUAAUGUUGAGAAUAAACAACAUUACUACAAAGGGUUUGUUGUGAAAGACAACGAUUCAUUGGUUGGACGGAGGAGUAGAGACUCAAAUGAAAAAUAUUCCAAAGAUUCAUUAGAACGUGACUACAAGCCCAAGAGGUCAAGAGGAGACUAUGGCGGUGCCGGCCGCACGGCUAUACCGUACAUAGGACAACGAGGAGACAUCUACGAAAGAGAAGCAUAGCCUGUAUUAUACUAAACAAAUAAAUCUCAUAGUAUCA